rnacentral:snoRNA from 1 species
UGUUGGCUUAGUUAGGAGGCAGAGAGAAAGUGAUCGUUCCUGUCUUCUGGACUGGGUCGAUCUUCUCAGGCCUUUUGAGGGGACUUCUCGAUGAUUCUUCAAAUCGAUUGUUCUCCAAGCAGCCUUGGACAUCU